rnacentral:misc_RNA from 1 species
AAGUCAUCUCCUUCGUCUACACUACUUUCUCUGAUUCAGCCAGACUUCAACAACGAAACCCAGAAACCAUUUUCUCUCUUUUUAACCUUUCUGCUGCAUCUAUGGCUCGUUCCACUGCUCUGGCUCUCAUUUUAUUACUGGUAUUUGCUGCAUUUAUGUCAAAUAUAGAGGGAAGGGAGAUUUUUAUGACUAAUACAGGGCAAGACAACGAAAAGGAGAGUACCGUCCCUUCUUUGUUUGCAAGGUUGGUUCUCAGUGCCCUUCCUAAGGGCACAGUUCCAUCUUCUUCUCCUAGCAAGAAGGGUCAUGCCACACUAGAUAAUGAGCAGCUUUUCCAGAGGCAUCUCGUCAGCAUCGAUCGGAUUCUAAAGUCUGUUCCAAGCCCUGGUGUUGGCCAUUAAGCCUUAUAUUCUUGAAAAGACAGUAUCCGUUUUUGUCGCUACAAUUUUCAUAAUUUUUUACUUCUUUUUCUUGUUUUCUGGUAAGUUAGACGUAUACAGAAG